GGUCACGUAGCGUAGGAUCCCAUUUAUAUGAAAUGCCCAGGAGAGGGGCAAAUCUGGAGGGCUAUAAAGCAGGCCAGUGGUUUCAGGGGGGCCGCAGGGGGUGGGGAAGGCAGAGUGACUGCUGGGUGGUUCUCUUCCCAUGCAGACUUGUGGUUCGUGGCUUCUGGAAAAAGCCAACCCAUUCGUUUUGUAGCUGGAGGCUCCAGGAGGACAAGGACUGCCUUGAGGCACAUACUUGCUUUCGGAGAAGCUGGGCAUGCUUGCCGCCUCCCCCAGGGAGCCUCCAGACCUCUCCAGCCCCCGAGCCUCGAGCUUUACACUUGGGCGUCAACAUAAGCUCAAUGUGAAGCCGGUGCCCUAGAGAGAACUCAGCCCUCCAGACCUCUGGGGUGAGAGUGUGGAGCAUGAGACCGGCAUCGAGGUGGAAACCGAGGUGUGACCAGAUGAAGUCACCUGUGUAAGGCCACACGGCUGGUGAGUGACAGUACGGGGGCACCAGAGUGCUGGCCCUGCUGAACCAAGGCCGGCUGCAGAGCCUGAUUGUCAGUUACCUAAAUCUAUGAAUGGACAGAUGAAGGGAUGAAGGGAUGAAGGAACGGCUGCACACACGUGAGCAUCCUCCGCAUUUCCCAGAAAGAGGAUACAGACUGGGUGGAACCUCAUGGCAGCCCACGACUCCCUGGGGGCCACGGGCCCACCCUCCUGUUCUGACCUCCCUUUGCUCCUCUGGAAAUGGGGCUGGCGGAAGCUAAACGUCUAAACACCACUUCCUUGUGGAACCAUCAAGCAGGCGACAGAAGACGGGCGGGACUGUCAGAUGUGAAGAAAAACCAACUAUGACUUGGUGCUGUUCUGUGUCUUCUGCUCUGCCUUUAUACCCCCGUCCCAUUCACUCAGCAAACGCUUGGAGGGGUCCUGUGUGCCUGACCCUCUGCGGGGGACGUGAGGGGGAUGCUGGGACCAGAGAUUCCUCGGAACCAGCACCCCACACGCCCUCAGCCCUGCCCUCCUCCUCUACUACCUGUGGAGAUCUACUCACUGCUUGCAGCUCACAGCCAUCGUCUCUUCGGGUCUGCAGAGAUGUCCAUGUCCAGCAACCCAGUGGUCACCCCUCCUUCCUCACCUAGUCGACCUUCCGGUAGCCUUCGAUGCGCCCAGCCCUCCUUGAAACUCACUCCGCUGCCGGCUUCCAGGCAGCAUCAAGCACCUCAUACCAAAAAUGCAUGCCUGCCGGCAGGGGUAGGGCAAUGAGCUGGGCAGCGGAACCAGGACCCUGGAGCUGCUGGCGCUCUCCUGGACUCCUGCUUGCACCGCCAGCUGAGGUCACCUGCCGGGGAGGGAUGCACCCUUCGGUGCGUGCGUUGGCACAGGCAGUCUCAGCAUCGGAACCAGCUUGUGGUUGGGGCAGUCCGUCCUGUUUCUGAGGGGUGGCUGCCAUGCUAUCCUUCAUUCUCCCCUCCCCCAGAAAGCCUGGCCCAGGUCUCCUGCCUUCUCAGCACCCCUGUUAAUCCAUCAGCUUCUCUCACCUUACCACGGAAAGUGUCAGAAUGGGAGCUUGGGCUUAGGCUCCCACUGCCCCAUGGCACUGUGGUACGCCGGGAGAAUGCGUAUUUGAUCUUCAUCCUCCCUCCCGGCGGAGCUCCUAAAACCCUUGGGAUUUCCUAAGUGAGGAGAGGUUAGCAGGUGUCUUUUUAUGUUAACAAAGUGACUUUGGGACCCACCUAAGGAUGGGGGCUGGCAGCAAGGGGAGCCCACUGUUUGAUUAAAGGGUCAGAACUUCCAGUCCCCCCUCUCUGACCUUUGAAGCAUGGCUGGAGGUUGAACCUGGGGCCAAUGGCCAGUGAUCUAUCAUUCGUGCCUAUGUACUGGGGCCUUCAUAAAAGUCCAGAAGGACAGGGUGUAGAGAACUUCCAGGGUGGUGAGCACAUGGAGAUUCAUGGGAAGUGGCCCACGCAGAGGGCGUGCAUGCUCUGUGACCUUCCCCAUACUUGCCCUCUGCACCUCUUCCGUUUGGCUGUUUCUUAGUUAUAUCCUUUUAUAAUAA